rnacentral:lncRNA from 1 species
AAUCCAUGGAGACUAAUAACCCAUUGCGAGAUUAUCGUCCUGUGAUUCUACGUCACUAAAUACGAGACCAUAUCCGACGGUUACGACCAUCUACUCUAUAAAAAGGGGGUAAGGCAACAGUUUCGGUAAGCUAUUUUUUGACGCUGAGCUCUAUCACCGUUCUUAUUCUACUAUUGCCCAGUCUCCCUCUCUGACUUAAGCAUCGGAGGAUCCCCGUCAGAGACAACUCUGAUCAGUGCAGACUUCAUUUUGCAGGUGCUCAUUCCCGACAACAGGCAAUGAGGGGAUUGGCAGCAACAGAUUGGCGCACCAGGUAGGGGGAAGACAGCGGCAAGAAGGAAACUCGCAAUGACGAGAACCAGAGCUCAACGAUCAACAAUGACU